rnacentral:rRNA from 1 species
UACGUAGGGUGCAAGCGUUAAUCGGAAUUACUGGGCGUAAAGCGUGCGCAGGCGGUUAUAUAAGACAGAUGUGAAAUCCCCGGGCUCAACCUGGGAACUGCAUUUGUGACUGCAAGGCUAGAGUACGGCAGAGGGGGAUGGAAUUCCGCGUGUAGCAGUGAAAUGCGUAGAUAUGCGGAGGAACACCGAUGGCGAAGGCAAUCCCCUGGACCUGUACUGACGCUCAUGCACGAAAGCGUGGGGAGCAAACAGG